CCUACGGGUGUCAGCAGUGGGGAAUAUUGGGCAAUGGGCGCAAGCCUGACCCAGCAACGCCGCGUGAAGGAAGAAGGCUUUCGGGUUGUAAACUUCUUUUCGCAGGGACGAAGCAAGUUACGGUACCUGCGGAUUAAGCCACGGCUAACUACGUUCCAGCAGCCGCGGUAAUACGUAGGUGGCAAGCGUGAUACGGAUGUACUGGGGGUCAAGGUCGUGUAGGCGGGGACGCAAGUCAGAGGUGAAAACCACGGGCUCAAACUGUGGCCGGCAUUUGAAACUGGGUUUCUUGAGUACUGGAGAGGCAGACGGAAUGACUAGUGUAGCGGUGAAAGGAGGAGAGAUUAGGAAGA
rnacentral:rRNA from 1 species